GAUGAACGCUGGCGGCGUGCCUAAUACAUGCAAGUCGAGCGAACAGACGAGGAGCUUGCUCCUCUGACGUUAGCGGCGGACGGGGGAGUAACACGUGGAUAACCUACCUAUAAGACUGGGGUAACUUCGGGAAACCGGAGCUAAUACCGGAUAAUCUAUUGAAACGGAGGGUUCAAUAGUGAAAGCGGGGUUUGCUGUGCCUUCUAGAGGGAUCCGCGACGCAUUAGCUAGUUGGUAAGGUAACGGCUUACCAAGGCGACGAUGAGUAGCCGACCUGAGAGGGUGAUCAGCCACACUGGAACUGAGACACGGCCCAGACUCCUACGGGAGGCAGCAGUAGGGAAUCUUCCGCAAUGGGCGAAAGCCUGACGGAGCAACGCCGCGUGAGUGAUGAAGGUCUUCGGAUCGUAAAACUCUGUUAUUAGGGAAGAACAAAUGUGUAAGUAACUAUGCACGUCUUGACGGUACCUAAAGAGAAAGCCCCGGCUAACUACGUG
rnacentral:rRNA from 1 species